rnacentral:tRNA from 1 species
GGUCGCGUGGCCGAGUGGUUAGGCAGAGGUCUGCAAAACCUCGUACGGUGGUUCGAACCCACUCGCGACCUC